rnacentral:rRNA from 1 species
UACGUAGGGUGCGAGCGUUGUCCGGAAUUAUUGGGCGUAAAGAGCUCGUAGGCGGCUUGUCGCGUCGGAUGUGAAAGCCCGGGGCUUAACUCCGGGUCUGCAUUCGAUACGGGCAGGCUAGAGUUCGGUAGGGGAGAUCGGAAUUCCUGGUGUAGCGGUGAAAUGCGCAGAUAUCAGGAGGAACACCGGUGGCGAAGGCGGAUCUCUGGGCCUUACCUGACGCUGAGGCGCGAAAGCUAGGGGAGCAAACAGG